AGUGAACGCUGGCGGUAGGCCUAACACAUGCAAGUCGAACGGCAGCACAGUAAGAGCUUGCUCUUACGGGUGGCGAGUGGCGGACGGGUGAGGAAUACAUCGGAAUCUACUUUUUCGUGGGGGAUAACGUAGGGAAACUUACGCUAAUACCGCAUACGACCUACGGGUGAAAGCAGGGGAUCUUCGGACCUUGCGCGAUUGAAUGAGCCGAUGUCGGAUUAGCUAGUUGGCGGGGUAAAGGCCCACCAAGGCGACGAUCCGUAGCUGGUCUGAGAGGAUGAUCAGCCACACUGGAGCUGAGACACGGUCCAGACUCCUACGGGAGGCAGCAGUGGGGAAUAUUGGACAAUGGGCGCAAGCCUGAUCCAGCCAUACCGCGUGGGUGAAGAAGGCCUUCGGGUUGUAAAGCCUUUUUGUUGGGAAAGAAAAGCAGCAGGUUAAUACCCCGCUGUUCUGACGGUACCCAAAGAAUAAGCACCGGCUAACUUCGU
rnacentral:rRNA from 1 species